rnacentral:rRNA from 16 species
CAGACUCCUACGGGAGGCAGCAGUGGGGAAUUUUCCGCAAUGGGCGAAAGCCUGACGGAGCAAUACCGCGUGAAGGAAGACGGCCUAUGGGUUGUAAACUUCUUUUUUCAGGGAGGAACUCAAUGACGUGUACCUGAAGAAUAAGCAUCGGCUAACUCCGUGCCAGCAGCCGCGGUAAGACGGAGGAUGCAAGUGUUAUCCGGAAUCACUGGGCGUAAAGCGUCUGUAGGUGGUUUAGUAAGUCGACUGUUAAAUCUUGAGGCUCAACCUCAAAAUCGCAUUCGAAACUACUAGACUAGAGUAUAGUAGAGGUAAAGGGAAUUUCCAGUGGAGCGGUGAAAUGCGUAGAUAUUGGAACGAACACCGAUGGCGAAAGCACUUUACUGGGCUAUUACUAACACUCAGAGACGAAAGCUAGGGUAGCAAAUGGGAUUAGAUACCCCAGUAGUCCUAGCCGUAAACAAUGGAUACUAGAUGUUGGACAGAUCGACCUGUGCAGUAUCAAAGCUAACGCGUUAAGUAUCCCGCCUGGGAAGUAUGC